rnacentral:rRNA from 1 species
UACGUAGGGGGCAAGCGUUGUCCGGAAUCAUUGGGCGUAAAGCGCGUGUAGGCGGCUUGAUAAGUCUGCUGUGAAAGUCCAGGGCUCAACCCUGGGAUGCCGGUGGAUACUGUCGAGCUCGAGUCCGGAAGAGGCGAGUGGAAUUCCUGGUGUAGCGGUGAAAUGCGCAGAUAUCAGGAGGAACACCAAUGGCGAAGGCAGCUCGCUGGGACGGUACUGACGCUGAGACGCGAAAGCGUGGGGAGCAAACAGG